CAACCGAGAUUCCGGUAGUAGCGGCGAGCGAACCUGGAUUAGCCCUUAAGCACUCGGUGAAGUAGGUGAACAAGCUGGAAAGCUUGGCGAUACAGGGUGAUAGCCCCGUAACCGACGCUUCAUCGAGCGUGAAAUCGAGUAGGGCGGGACACGUGAUAUCCUGUCUGAAUAUGGGGGGACCAUCCUCCAAGGCUAAAUACUCCUGACUGACCGAUAGUGAACCAGUACCGUGAGGGAAAGGCGAAAAGAACCCCUGUGAGGGGAGUGAAAUAGAACCUGAAACCGUGUACGUACAAGCAGUAGGAGCACCUUCGUGGUGUGACUGCGUAC
rnacentral:rRNA from 1 species